GGCCGCUAAUACCCCAUAUGCCGAGAGGUGAAAUGAAUUUCGCCUGAGGAUGAGCCCGCGUCUGAUUAGCUAGUUGGUGGGGUAAUGGCCCACCAAGGCGACGAUCAGUAGCUGGUCUGAGAGGAUGAUCAGCCACACUGGGACUGAGACACGGCCCAGACUCCUACGGGAGGCAGCAGUGGGGAAUUUUCCGCAAUGGGCGGAAGCCUGACGGAGCAACGCCGCGUGAGGGAUGAAGGCCUCUGGGCUGUAAACCUCUUUUCUCAAGGAAGAAGACAUGACGGUACUUGAGGAAUAAGCCACGGCUAAUUCCGUGCCAGCAGCCGCGGUAAUACGGGAGUGGCAAGCGUUAUCCGGAAUUAUUGGGCGUAAAGCGUCCGCAGGCGGCCUUGUAAGUCUGUCGUUAAAGCGUGGAGCUUAACUCCAUUUAAGCGAUGGAAACUACAAGGCUUGAGUGUGGUAGGGGCAGAGGGAAUUCCCGGUGUAGCGGUGAAAUGCGUAGAUAUCGGGAAGAACACCAGUGGCGAAGGCGCUCUGCUGGGCCAUAACUGACGCUCAUGGACGAAAGCCAGGGGAGCGAAAGGGAUUAGAUACCCCUGUAGUCCUGGCCGUAAACGAUGAACACUAGGUGUCGGGGGAAUCGACCCCCUCGGUGUCGUAGCUAACGCGUUAAGUGUUCCGCCUGGGGAGUACGCACGCAAGUGUGAAACUCAAAGGAAUUGACGGGGGCCCGCACAAGCGGUGGAGUAUGUGGUUUAAUUCGAUGCAACGCGAAGAACCUUACCAGGGUUUGACAUCCUGCGAAUCCCUUGGAAACUUGGGAGUGCCUUCGGGAGCGCAGAGACAGGUGGUGCAUGGCUGUCGUCAGCUCGUGUCGUGAGAUGUUGGGUUAAGUCCCGCAACGAGCGCAACCCACGUCUUUAGUUGCCAGCAUUCAGUUGGGCACUCUAGAGAGACCGCCGGUGAUAAACCGGAGGAAGGUGUGGAUGACGUCAAGUCAUCAUGCCCCUUACAUCCUGGGCUACACACGUACUACAAUGCUACGGACAAAGGGCAGCAAGCUCGCGAGAGUUAGCAAAUCCCAUAAACCGUGGCUCAGUUCAGAUCGUAGGCUGCAACUCGCCUACGUGAAGGAGGAAUCGCUAGUAAUCGCAGGUCAGCAUACUGCGGUGAAUACGUUCCCGGGCCUUGUACACACCGCCCGUCACACCAUGGAAGUUGGCCAUGCCCGAAGUCGUUACUCCAACCCUUGU
rnacentral:rRNA from 1 species